rnacentral:hammerhead_ribozyme from 1 species
AUCCGGAUGACGAGUCCUGAAUAGGACGACAUACGCGUCAUCCUGGAU